GACCUUCAGCAGCACAUACACUAAAAUUGGAACGACAGAGAGAAGAUUAGUGUGGCCCCUGAGCAAAGACAACAUGCAAAUUCAUGAAGUGUUUAAUCAAUAC
rnacentral:snRNA from 1 species